rnacentral:misc_RNA from 1 species
GUGAAUCAUCAAAUCUUUGAACGCAAAUUGCGCUUUUUUCGGAAGGCAUGUCUGUUUGAGGGCACCGUUUAACAACUAAUGUGCAGCGUCUUUUGUUGCAUACGCUGAUGAGCUUUCCAAGAAUUUUAAAUUUUCGGUGGCGCAUAAUGAACAGUGUGAAAGUUUUUUUUAGUUUGAGUGUAGUAAAAUCUUUGCUUGUGUUGUGAAUACACAUAAUCGCGCAAUGGGUGUGGCAAUUUUUUUCUAUCCC